rnacentral:tRNA from 1 species
GAAAUAUCAGUAAAUAAGCUUCUAACUUAAUUUCAAAGCAAUACAAUUGUUUAUAUUUCU